CUCCCGGCGAGGACUUCUUCCGACGAGAUCUCCACACCUUCGUGAUCCCCUCGUCGAGAAGAACAAGUAGAUACCAAGAGAUCGUUGAGGAAAACAACUUCUCCGAACCCUAGCAGCCCUAUCUCUUCGGUUGUAAGUCCAAGAACCCAAAAUAUGGAUAAAAAUAAAGGAAAGGCUAAAGUGGCCUAGAAGAAGGCGACAAGGAGACAUUGAUGGUGUGUGUGUGGUGGCUGAUAUGGAAGCUUGGGACCUUGCUAGAAGAAUUUAGAAAUCGUACCUGCUGGUGUUUUUGUUACUGCUAGAGUAGAAUUUAUCUUGCAUUACUAAUUUCGUUAUCUUUCUGUCAUUUAGUUGGAUUAACUGUUUAUGCUGGGAACAUGUUCUUUUCCUUAUUUCUGGAUUAGUUUUCAAGUUUUGUGAAGUGAGAUCUGCUUCAAUAAGAAUCUGCCGUAUGGUUCAUCUUGA